CGCGGGAUGGAGCAGUUGGCAGCUCGUUGGGCUCAUAACCCAAAGGUCACAGGUUCGAGUCCUGUUCCCGCUAC
rnacentral:tRNA from 2 species